CAUCUGUAGCCCUGCAAGUCUGCAAGUCUUGUUCAUUGUUGUAUCUUUAGUACAUGGCAUUUGGUGGACGCAUAGGAAAUAUUUUUUAUUUUUAUUAUUUAUUUUUUUUGAGAUGGAGUCUCGCUCUGUCGCCCAGGCUGGAGUGCAGUGGUGCUAUCUCGGCUCACUGCAAGCUCCGCCUCCCGGGUUCAUGCCAUUCUCCUGCCUCAGCCUCCUGAGUAGCUGGGACUACAGCCACCUGCCACCUUGCCUGGCUAAUUUUUUGUAUUUUUAGUAGAGACGGGGUUUCACCAUGUUAGCCAGUAUGGUCUCAAUCUCCUGACCUCGUGAUCAGCCUGCCUCGGCCUCCCAAAGUGCUGGGAUUACAGGCGUAAGCCACCGUGCCCGGCCAGAAAUAUAUAUAUAUUUUUAAGAGACAGAGUCUCGCUCUAUUGCCCAGGCUGGAGUGCAGUGGCACAAUCAUAGCUCAUUACAGCCUUGAACUCCUGGGCUCAUGUGUUCCUCCUGCCUCAGCCUCCCAAGUAGCUGGAAAUACAGGCACCACUAAGCCUGGCUAAUUUUUAACUUUUUUGUAGAAAUGGGGUCUCACUUUGUUGCCCAGGCUGGCCUUGAACUCCUGGCCUCAAGUGAUCCUCCUGCCUCAGCCUCCCAAAGUGCUGGGACUAUAGGCAUGAGCCACCAUGCCUGGCUAAGAAAGAAAACAUUUGCCGGGCAUGGUGGCUCAUGCCUGUAAUCCCAGCACUUUGGGAGGCUGAGGCAGGUGGAUCACUUGAGGCCAGGAGUUCGAGACCAGCUUGGCCUCGUGGUGAAACCCUGUCUCUACUAAAAAUGCAAAAAUUAGCCAGGCGUGGGAGUCUGUAGUCCCCAGCUACUCGGGAGGCUGAGCCAGGAGAAUAGCUUAAACCGGGGAGGUGGAGGUUGCAGUGAGCCGAGAUCACGCUACUGCACUCCAGCCUGGGCGACAGAGGGAGACUCUGUCUCAGGGAGAAAAAAAAAAAAGAAAGGAAGAAAAAGAAAAAGAAAAAGAUAUUUUAAGAGACAGGGUCUUGCUAUGUUGCCCAGGCUGGUCUCGAAUUCCUGAGCUCAAGUGAUCCUCCCAUCUCAGCCUCCCAAAGUGCUGGGAUUACAGGCGUGAGUCACUGCACCAGGCCAGGAAACAAUUGUUGAACAAGUAAUCAGAGGGAGGGGUGAGUCACUGGGGGCUGGGGAAAGAGGGAGGGGGUGUUAGGAUGGUGCUGACCUUCCAGCUGCACAUCUGCCAGCCG
rnacentral:lncRNA from 10 species